rnacentral:rRNA from 1 species
UACGAAGGGGGCUAGCGUUGCUCGGAAUUACUGGGCGUAAAGCGCACGUAGGCGGAUUGUUAAGUCGGGGGUGAAAUCCUGGAGCUCAACUCCAGAACUGCCUUCGAUACUGGCGAUCUCGAGUUCGGGAGAGGUGAGUGGAACUGCGAGUGUAGAGGUGAAAUUCGUAGAUAUUCGCAAGAACACCAGUGGCGAAGGCGGCUCACUGGCCCGAUACUG